ACAAUGAAGAGUUUGAUCCUGGCUCAGGAUGAACGCUAGCUACAGGCUUAACACAUGCAAGUCGAGGGGCAGCAUGGUCUUAGCUUGCUAAGGCCGAUGGCGACCGGCGCACGGGUGAGUAACACGUAUCCAACCUGCCGUCUACUCUUGGACAGCCUUCUGAAAGGAAGAUUAAUACAAGAUGGCAUCAUGAGUCCGCAUGUUCACAUGAUUAAAGGUAUUCCGGUAGACGAUGGGGAUGCGUUCCAUUAGAUAGUAGGCGGGGUAACGGCCCACCUAGUCUUCGAUGGAUAGGGGUUCUGAGAGGAAGGUCCCCCACAUUGGAACUGAGACACGGUCCAAACUCCUACGGGAGGCAGCAGUGAGGAAUAUUGGUCAAUGGGCGAGAGCCUGAACCAGCCAAGUAGCGUGAAGGAUGACUGCCCUAUGGGUUGUAAACUUCUUUUAUAAAGGAAUAAAGUCGGGUAUGCAUACCCGUUUGCAUGUACUUUAUGAAUAAGGAUCGGCUAACUCCGUGCCAGCAGCCGCGGUAAUACGGAGGAUCCGAGCGUUAUCCGGAUUUAUUGGGUUUAAAGGGAGCGUAGAUGGAUGUUUAAGUCAGUUGUGAAAGUUUGCGGCUCAACCGUAAAAUUGCAGUUGAUACUGGAUAUCUUGAGUGCAGUUGAGGCAGGCGGAAUUCGUGGUGUAGCGGUGAAAUGCUUAGAUAUCACGAAGAACUCCGAUUGCGAAGGCAGCCUGCUAAGCUGCAACUGACAUUGAGGCUCGAAAGUGUGGGUAUCAAACAGGAUUAGAUACCCUGGUAGUCCACACGGUAAACGAUGAAUACUCGCUGUUUGCGAUAUACAGCAAGCGGCCAAGCGAAAGCGUUAAGUAUUCCACCUGGGGAGUACGCCGGCAACGGUGAAACUCAAAGGAAUUGACGGGGGCCCGCACAAGCGGAGGAACAUGUGGUUUAAUUCGAUGAUACGCGAGGAACCUUACCCGGGCUUAAAUUGCAGAUGAAUUACGGUGAAAGCCGUAAGCCGCAAGGCAUCUGUGAAGGUGCUGCAUGGUUGUCGUCAGCUCGUGCCGUGAGGUGUCGGCUUAAGUGCCAUAACGAGCGCAACCCUUGUUGUCAGUUACUAACAGGUUCUGCUGAGGACUCUGACAAGACUGCCAUCGUAAGAUGUGAGGAAGGUGGGGAUGACGUCAAAUCAGCACGGCCCUUACGUCCGGGGCUACACACGUGUUACAAUGGGGGGUACAGAGGGCCGCUACCACGCGAGUGGAUGCCAAUCCCCAAAACCUCUCUCAGUUCGGACUGGAGUCUGCAACCCGACUCCACGAAGCUGGAUUCGCUAGUAAUCGCGCAUCAGCCACGGCGCGGUGAAUACGUUCCCGGGCCUUGUACACACCGCCCGUCAAGCCAUGGGAGCCGGGGGUACCUGAAGUGCGUAACCGCGAGGAGCGCCCUAGGGUAAAACUGGUGACUGGGGCUAAGUCGUAACAAGGUAGCCGUACCGGAAGGUGCGGCUGGAACACCUCCUUU
rnacentral:rRNA from 1 species